UGGGGAAUCUUGGUCAAUGGGCGCAAGCCUGAACCAGCGACGCCGCGUGAGUGAUGAAGGCCUUCGGGUUGUAAAGCUCUGUGGAGUGGGGCGAAAGACACGCGUUCUAACAGGGCGUGUGGUUGACGGUACCACUUUAGCAAGCACCGGCUAACUCUGUGCCAGCAGCCGCGGUAAGACAGAGGGUGCAAACGUUGCUCGGAAUCACUGGGCGUAAAGCGCGUGUAGGCGGGUAGAUAAGUCAGAUGUGAAAUCCCUGGGCUCAACCCAGGAACUGCAUUUGAAACUGUCUGCCUUGAGUGUCGGAGAGGAAAGCGGAAUUCCUGGUGUAGAGGUGAAAUUCGUAGAUAUCAGGAGGAACACCGGUGGCGAAGGCGGCUUUCUGGACGACAACUGACGCUGAGACGCGAAAGCGUGGGGAGCAAACAGG
rnacentral:rRNA from 1 species